GUUCGUGCUGAAGGCCUGUUUCCUAGGCUACAAACGGAGGACUUGUUCCUUUACUUUCCGCCUAGGGGAAAGUCCCCGGACCUCCGGCAGAGAGUGCCGCGUGCGCGUGCACGUUAGACCUCCUCACGGUUCACUGUAAAGCCCGCUAAGAAGCGACCCCGCUCCCUGGGUGGGGGAGCUGAGCGGCGUGAGAGCGGGGACGUCAUCCGUCAGCAUUUCCUAGUUACGCAGGCAGCGCGUCGUGCUGCGCGCCAACCGCACGGGGCUCAUUCUCAGCGCGUU
rnacentral:RNase_MRP_RNA from 15 species